UGUGUAGGCGGUUCUUUAAGUUUGGUGUGAAAUCUCCCGGCUCAACUGGGAGGGUGCGCCGAAUACUGAGGGACUAGAGUACGGGAGAGGAAAGUGGAAUUCCUGGUGUAGCGGUGAAAUGCGUAGAUAUCAGGAGGAACACCGGUGGUGUAGACGGCUUUCUGGACCGUAACUGACGCUGAGACACGAAAGCGUGGGUAGCAAACA
rnacentral:rRNA from 1 species